UGAGGAACAUGACUUUCGGCGGGGAUAGCCGGCCCAACGGCCGGGUAAUACCGCGUACGACCACUCGGGGACAUCCCCAGGUGGUGAAAGCAGCAAUGCGCCGAUGGAGUGCCUCGCGGCCUAUCAGCUAGUUGGUGAGGUAACGGCUCACCAAGGCAACGGACGGGUAGCUGGUCUGAGGAGGGUGACCCGGCCACACGUGGGACUGAGACACGGCCCAGACUCCGUAGGGAGCAGCAGG
rnacentral:rRNA from 1 species